GCGAGGGGAUGAUAGAAUUCAUAAGUCUGUCAAUCCACUGAAUAAUAAUCCUCUGAUGUUAACUAUGAAUCCCGACAGGUUCUGAUCGC